CCUACGGGAUGCUGCAGUGGGGAAUAUUGCACAAUGGGGGAAACCCUGAUGCAGCGACGCCGCGUGAGUGAAGAAGUAUUUCGGUACGUAAAGCUCUAUCAGCAGGGAAGAAAAUGACGGUACCUGACUAAGAAGCCCCGGCUAACUACGUGCCAGCAGCCGCGGUAAUACGUAGGGGGCAAGCGUUAUCCGGAUUUACUGGGUGUAAAGGGAGCGUAGACGGCAGCGCAAGUCUGGAGUGAAAUCCCAUGGCUUAACCAUGGAACUGCUUUGGAAACUGUGCAGCUAGAGUGCAGGAGAGGUAAGCGGAAUUCCUAGUGUAGCGGUGAAAUGCGUAGAUAUUAGGAGGAACACCAGUGGCGAAGGCGGCUUACUGGACUGUAACUGACGUUGAGGCUCGAAAGCGUGGGGAGCAAACAGGAUUAGAUACCCCAGUAGUC
rnacentral:rRNA from 1 species